rnacentral:tmRNA from 1 species
GGGGCUGCUUGGUUUUGACAGCAGGGAUGAUGGGUUUGUAAGCAUGCAGGCUGACGCGCCAGAAGCCUUAAACACAGACGCAAAACAAUAAUUGGCGAAAACAACUACGCUCUCGCUGCCUAACCGAAGAACAGUAAGUUCGGCUUAAUUCCCGCGCAAGGCGCGGGAACGGGACAUCUCCCAGCCGCCCCGACCGUCGGCUGCUGACCCGGAGGUGCUCAUAAAGACGGGAUAGCUCGCACGACGUCUCUACCUGCGGGUGAAAUCAAUAGAGACUACGGGUAGCCUUGGGUGCCGAUGUCCGGAGCCACCCCGACAACCAACCACUGGAUAAGCAUGUAGAAAGCAAGUUUGUCACCUGUCUGGACGGCGGUUCGAGCCCGCCCAGCUCCAC